CUUAUCUGGUAAAGCGAAUGAUUAGAGGCCUUAGGGCCGAAACAACCUUAACCUAUUCUCAAACUUUAAAUGGGUAAGAACCUUGCCUUACUUGAUAUGAAGGUAUUAGGUUAUGAUAUAUUGUGCCCAGUGGGCCACUUUUGGUAAGCAAAACUGGCGCUGUGGGAUGAACCAAACGUGAUGUUACGGCGCCUAAAUUAACAACUCAUACAAAUACCAUGAAAGGCGUUGCUUGCUUAAAACAGCAGGACGGUGGACAUGGAAGUCGUAAUCCGCUAAGGAGUGUGUAACAACUCACCUGCCGAAGCAACUAGCCCUUAAAAUGGAUGGCGCUAAAGUUGUAUGCCUAUACAUCACCGCUGAAACAAAUGAUUUA
rnacentral:rRNA from 1 species